CUUCAUAGGUAUGGUACUCAGGGCUGGAUGAUAUUGUUGACAUCUUUCUUGGGGUUAACCAAUGGUUACCUCACUAUCUGCAUUUUCACUUCUGCACCUAAAGGUUACAAGGGACCUGAACAAAAUGCUUUGGGGAAUAUGUUGGUGUUGUGUCUUCUUAGAGGUCUUUUUGCAGGGGUAACACUUGACUGGUUGUGGUUAAUAGGUAAAGGAUGGUGAGAUUUUAACCAGCUAAACUAGAGAAAUAGUAAAGUCAUUGUUCUCAAACAAAUGGUGGAAAUGUGUAUCUUUUAGCACUUAUAUACUUCUCUUGAAUUGUGAAUAUUUUAAUAAAGCCUUGGUCAA